rnacentral:tRNA from 1 species
GCAGAUGUAGCCUAGCUGGUAAGACGCCGGCUUCGAGAGCCGGUGCGCGAAAGCGCUCGUGGGUUCGAAUCCCUCCAUCUGCG